GGUGCUAUACAUGCAGUCGAGCGGACAGAUGGGAGCUUGCUCCCUGAUGUUAGCGGCGGACGGGUGAGUAACACGUGGGUAACCUGCCUGUAAGACUGGGAUAACUCCGGGAAACCGGGGCUAAUACCGGAUGGUUGUUUGAACCGCAUGGUUCAGACAUAAAAGGUGGCUUCGGCUACCACUUACAGAUGGACCCGCGGCGCAUUAGCUAGUUGGUGAGGUAACGGCUCACCAAGGCGACGAUGCGUAGCCGACCUGAGAGGGUGAUCGGCCACACUGGGACUGAGACACGGCCCAGACUCCUACGGGAGGCAGCAGUAGGGAAUCUUCCGCAAUGGACGAAAGUCUGACGGAGCAACGCCGCGUGAGUGAUGAAGGUUUUCGGAUCGUAAAGCUCUGUUGUUAGGGAAGAACAAGUGCCGUUCAAAUAGGGCGGCACCUUGACGGUACCUAACCAGAAAGCCACGGCUAACUACGUGCCAGCAGCCGCGGUAAUACGUAGGUGGCAAGCGUUGUCCGGAAUUAUUGGGCGUAAAGGGCUCGCAGGCGGUUUCUUAAGUCUGAUGUGAAAGCCCCCGGCUCAACCGGGGAGGGUCAUUGGAAACUGGGGAACUUGAGUGCAGAAGAGGAGAGUGGAAUUCCACGUGUAGCGGUGAAAUGCGUAGAGAUGUGGAGGAACACCAGUGGCGAAGGCGACUCUCUGGUCUGUAACUGACGCUGAGGAGCGAAAGCGUGGGGAGCGAACAGGAUUAGAUAC
rnacentral:rRNA from 1 species